AUUGAACGCUGGCGGCAUGCCUUACACAUGCAAGUCGAACGGUAACAGGUUAAGCUGACGAGUGGCGAACGGGUGAGUAAUGUAUCGGAACGUGCCCAGUUGUGAGGGAUAACUGCUCGAAAGAGCAGCUAAUACCGCAUACGACCUGAGGGUGAAAGCGGGGGAUCGCAAGACCUCGCGCAAUUGGAGCGGCCGAUAUCAGAUUAGGUAGUUGGUGGGGUAAAGGCUCACCAAGCCGACGAUCUGUAGCUGGUCUGAGAGGACGACCAGCCAAACUGGGACGGAGACACGGCCCAGACUCCUACGGGAGGCAGCAGUGGGGAAUUUUGGACAAUGGGCGCAAGCCUGAUCCAGCCAUGCCGCGUGCGGGAAGAAGGCCUUCGGGUUGUAAACCGCUUUUGUCAGGGAAGAAACGCUCUGGGUUAAUACCCUGGGGUAAUGACGGUACCUGAAGAAUAAGCACCGGCUAACUACGUGCCAGCCGCCGCGGUAA
rnacentral:rRNA from 1 species